CCUUACCAGGUCUUGACAUCCUCUGAAAACCCUAGAGAUAGGGCUUCUCCUUCGGGAGCAGAGUGACAGGUGGUGCAUGGUUGUCGUCAGCUCGUGUCGUGAGAUGUUGGGUUAAGUCCCGCAACGAGCGCAACCCUUGAUCUUAGUUGCCAUCAUUAAGUUGGGCACUCUAAGGUGACUGCCGGUGACAAACCGGAGGAAGGUGGGGAUGACGUCAAAUCAUCAUGCCCCUUAUGACCUGGGCUACACACGUGCUACAAUGGACGGUACAAAGAGCUGCAAGACCGCGAGGUGGAGCUAAUCUCAUAAAACCGUUCUCAGUUCGGAUUGUAGGCUGCAACUCGCCUACAUGAAGCUGGAAUCGCUAGUAAUCGCGGAUCAGCAUGCCGCGGUGAAUACGUUCCCGGGCCUUGUACACACCGCCCGUCACACCACGAGAGUUUGUA
rnacentral:rRNA from 1 species